UACGUAGGUGGCAAGCGUUGUCCGGAUUUACUGGGCGUAAAGAGCGCGCAGGCGGUCGUUCAAGUCGCGUGUGAAAGCCCCCGGCUCAACUGGGGAGGGUCACGCGAUACUGAUCGACUCGAAGGCAGGAGAGGGAAGUGGAAUUCCCGGUGUAGUGGUGAAAUGCGUAGAUAUUAGGAAGAACACCGGUGGCGAAGGCGGCCCACUGGUCCGGUACUGACGCUGAGGUGCGAAAGCGUGGGGAGCAAACAGG
rnacentral:rRNA from 1 species